AACGAACGCUGGCGGCGUGCCUAAUACAUGCAAGUAGAACGAGUUGCGAACGGGUGAGUAACGCGUGGUAACCUUCCUCAUAGCGGGGGAUAACUAAUGGAAACGAUAGCUAAUACCGCAUACUGUGAGAUGGAUCUGCGUUGUAUUAGCUAGUUGGGGAGGUAAAGGCUCACCAAGGCGACGAUACAUAGCCGACCUGAGAGGGUGAUCGGCCAAACUGGGACUGAGACACGGUCCAGACUCCUACGGGAGGCAGCAGUGGGUAAUAUUGCACAAGGGGAGCAAGCCUGAUGCAGCCAUGCCGCGUGUAUGAAGAAGGCCUUCGGGGUGUAAAGUACUUUCAGCGGGGAGGCGUUACCCGCAGAAGAAGCACCGGCUAACUCCGUGCCAGCAGCCGCGGUAAUUC
rnacentral:rRNA from 1 species